rnacentral:rRNA from 1 species
GAAUAUUGGACAAUGGGCGCAAGCCCGAUCCAGCCAUGCCGCGUGAGUGCUGAAGGCCCUAGGGUUGUAAAGCUCUUUCCCCGGUGAAGAUAAUGACGGUAACCGGAGAAGACGUCCCGGCUAACUUCGUGCCAGCAGCCGCGGUAAUACGGUGGGGGCUAGCGUUGUUCGGAAUUACUGGGCGUAAAGCGAACGUAGGCGGAUCGGUCAGUUAGGGGUGAAAUCCAAGGGCUCAACCCUGGAACUGCCUUUAAUACUGCCGGGCUGGAGUUCGAGAGAGGUGAGUGGAAUUCCGGGUGUAGAGGUGAAAUUCGUAGAUAUUCGGAGGAACACCAGUGGCGAAGGCGGCUCACUGGCUCGAUACUGACGCUGAGGUGCGAAAGCGUGGGGAGCAAACA